AUUGAACGCUGGCGGCAGGCUUAACACAUGCAAGUCGAGCGGGGUGAUGGUGCUUGCACUAUCACUUAGCGGGGGACGGGUGAGUAAUGCUUAUGAAUCUUCCUAUUAGUGGGGGACCACAGCUCGAAAGGGAUGCUAAUACUGCAUACGUCCUACGGGAGAAAGCAGGGGAUAAAUUGUGCCAUUGCGCUAAUAGAUGAGGCUAAGUCGGAUUAGCCAGUUGUUGGGGUAAAGGCCUACCAAGGGGACGAUCGGCAGCGGGGUUGAGAGGGGGAUCCGCCCCACUGGGACUGAGACACGGCCCAGACUCCGACGGGAGGGAGCAGUGGGGAAUAUUGGACAAUGGGGGGAACCCUGAUCCAGCCAUGCCGCGUGUGUGAAGAAGGCCUUAUGGUUGUAAAGCACUUUAAGCGAGGAGGAGGCUCUUUUGGUUAAUACCCAAGAUGAGUGGACGUUACUCGCAGAAUAAGCACCGGCUAACUCUGUGCCAGCAGCCGCCGUAA
rnacentral:rRNA from 1 species